rnacentral:rRNA from 1 species
AUGGGCGUCGUGUCCGUCUACGCGCCGCCGGCCCUCAACCGCCACCUCACCUUCCCCGCCUUCUCCUACGGCGUGACGGUCAUCAUCGUCACGGACGCCACGGUCGGCACCGCCCUGUGCGCACUCCACGUCACCGUCAUGGGGGCCACCCCCUCCGUCCUAGCACUGUGGCUGGCGCACCGCACGGGCGCCACCGAGUCGGUGCUGGUCACGUCGGUCGUGGUGGCGCUGAGCACGUCCGCGGUGGCGCUGCCAGAGUCGCCGGGCACCGUGGCGAAGCGGAUCUGGGGCAAAUCAUCAUCAUCUACGUGGCCAAGUUCAGGCGAGGGGACCACAUGA